rnacentral:rRNA from 1 species
UACGUAGGGGGCAAGCGUUGUCCGGAUUUAUUGGGCGUAAAGAGCGUGUAGGCGGCUUGGUAGGUCCGCUGUGAAAACUCGAGGCUCAACCCUUGAAUGCCGGUGGAUACUGUCGGGCUAGAGUGCGGAAGAGGCGAGUGGAAUUCCUGGUGUAGCGGUGAAAUGCGCAGAUAUCAGGAGGAACACCUAUUGCGAAGGCAGCUCGCUGGGACGUGACUGACGCUGAGACGCGAAAGCGUGGGGAGCAAACAGG